AUGGUGGGGAUUGGAAAGUUUUUCGGUGAAGGAUGGGCUCGCGGACUAUCAGUUUGUUGGUGAGGUAGUGGCUCACCAAGGCGAUGACGGGUAGCCGGCCUGAGAGGGCGACCGGCCACACUGGGACUGAGACACGGCCCAGACUCCUACGGGAGGCAGCAGUGGGGAAUAUUGCACAAUGGGCGAAAGCCUGAUGCAGCGACGCCGCGUGAGGGAUGACGGCCUUCGGGUUGUAAACCUCUUUCAGCAGGGAAGAAGCGAAAGUGACGGUACCUGCAGAAGAAGCGCCGGCUAACUACGUGCCAGCAGCCGCGGUAAUACGUAGGGCGCAAGCGUUGUCCGGAAUUAUUGGGCGUAAAGAGCUUGUAGGUGGCUUGUCGCGUCUGCCGUGAAAACCCGAGGCUCAACCUCGGGCGUGCGGUGGGUACGGGCAGGCUAGAGUGUGGUAGGGGAGACUGGAACUCCUGGUGUAGCGGUGAAAUGCGCAGAUAUCAGGAAGAACACCGAUGGCGAAGGCAGGUCUCUGGGCCAUUACUGACACUGAGAAGCGAAAGCAUGG
rnacentral:rRNA from 1 species